ACAGAUAGUUUCUUCCUAACCCAAAUCUUAUUAUGCAUUAAUAGGUGAAUUCUCCACCUCUGCCAGGAAGCAAUUAAGAGAGAGAAAAUGAACCUCAACUACUACCACUGAAAAAGGGAUAUUGGAAGGUACUCAAUAUUGUCCGAACAUUCCUUGGUGGUUCAUGAAAUCCUGGUGACUUGGGUCUGGGCCCAAUUUCAAUUCAUUUGCAAGGAGUCAA
rnacentral:lncRNA from 1 species